AUCGACGGUUAUUGUUCCCCGAGGGGAGGGACAUGCUCAGACUCGGGGUCCACGCUGGCCGCCUCCCCAGAGCGUCCCCAGUUUCUGAAAGAAGGACCAAAGUAAAGCCAAGAACUCCCAGAUGAAGAGGACCUUCCUGGAUUUGUAACAGGGAUUAACCAAUUCUUGAUUUCAGGAGGAAGUUUCAGCUAAUUCUCAGGAUAAAGUCAAAACAGGCCUGUCCCUUGGAUACUAAAGGUGUAAACAAGCUUCUGGCCCCCCCAGGUCAAGCAGAGACACGCUUUUUAUUGGAAGGUCCCUGGAUGAGGCUGAGAUCUGAAAGCCAGGAGGCAGAAUGUGAACUUUAAUGGCCCUUUCUUACCGCCUUUCUGGGGCCAGGACUACUCUUCAGGGCUUUCCUCUGCAACUUCCCCAUCCUCCUGGCUAGCUCAGUUGAGUCUUCUCACUCCACUCCAGGCUGGGUCCUGAGCCUCUCCUGGUAGCCAGAGCAAGCUCUCCCUCUCCCUAAAUCUCUUUCCCCACCCCAACCUCCCAUUUUGCAGCGGGCCAUUCCCACUGCCUCACCCCUACCCUGCAUUAAUUCACAUUUGACUGCCUGGACAGAACAACCACGGGCUCCCAAACGACUGCCACCCCCCAGCCAUGGGCCUGGGCUUGCAGCCCUGAUCCCUUUCUUCAGGCCUCAGGAGGAUCCCCCACAACCUCCCUGGUCCCCACCUUCCCCAAAGCGGUCUCUAUGGGAAGAAAAUAGAACAGGCCGAGGCCUGAGCCAAAGAGCCAUUUCCUCCGCUUAGGCAAGCGAGGGGAGCCUCCCAGAGACCACGGCCCGAGCGCAGCCUGGCCCUCUCCCACGGCCCGGCGCCGGCCCCGCGCUGCCUUUGUGUGGCCUUCCCCGCCGCGGAGCCCUUGGGGGCGCCGCGCGCACAAUGGCGCGGCCGCUCCCGGAAGACCCGGCUGCUCCGGGCGGCCAGGGCCAGCAGCCUCGAGGCUUCGGGGCGCACCCCGCGGCCCCCAGCGCGCCGGGCCCGGGGAACGUCCCAGGCUAGGGCAGAGGCUUCCUCCCCCUGCCGCCUGGUCCCUGUCCGCCGCAGGUCCUCCUCGGGAGAGGGAGAAGCCUGGCCCAGGGCGCCAUUGCCGGGCCGGGCUCCCCUCCCCCA
rnacentral:lncRNA from 1 species